rnacentral:rRNA from 1 species
UGAGGAAUAUUGGGCAAUGCCCGCAAGGGUGACCCAGCAACGCCGCGUGGAGGAUGAAUGUCGUAAGAUUGUAAACUCCUGUUAGAGGGGAAGAAUAACUAAGUUUGGAGCUUAGUAUGACUGUACCCUCAGAGAAAGCCCCGGCUAACUACGUGCCAGCAGCCGCGGUAAUACGUAGGGGGCAAGCGUUGUCCGGAUUUACUGGGUGUAAAGGGCGCGCGGCGGAAUGGAAAGUCAGUGGUGAAAUCCUACAGCUUAACUGUAGAACUGCCUUUGAUACUUUCAUUCUUGAGUUCGGGAGAGAGAGACGGAAUUCCAGGUGUAGUGGUGAAAUACGUAGAUAUCUGGAAGAACACCAGUUGCGAAGGCGGUCUCUUGGUCCGAUACUGACGCUGAGGCGCGAAAGCGUGGGGAGCAAACA